rnacentral:lncRNA from 1 species
AGGUCCGGUCUAAGUUGAAAAUUGUAUCAGUUGGUAUAAAAUUAGAAUUCAGAGGGGGUAUCGAACGUUGUUGUUUGCACGGAAUGAGUGCUCCAAACAGGAGGGGGUGUGGAAAAUCAAAAAAUAAAAAAAGGUUAGAAAUGGAAUAUAAACCAAUAAGCAGAGUAAGAUGCAUUGACAGCCGUUGCCAUGUUAUUUCAGUCAUUCGAUGCGUUUCAUGUCAUCACGUGAUCGACAUGGUGACUCAUCGUUUCCCAGACUUAUUCAGAUUAGAAGAAGUCGACACUCGCUACUUCGAACAUUAUCAAGUGGCGAGUGCGUUUUUGCUUAUUUCAUUUUCCAAUAUUGGCUUGUUUUGAUAGUUUGUCAAGUGUUGUUUGUAUAAAAAUGUUGAGUGG